rnacentral:lncRNA from 1 species
AUUCCUGUCUGCGGCUGCUCUCAGCUCUGGGAACACUGCCCUUUACUUUGCUUCCUUCCUUUUCCCACGCUCUCUCUGGCUUCCACGCCAGCCUAGCGCAUCCCUAAUUUCAGACACUCCAGUCCUUCAGGAUCCCCGGACAGUAUCACCUCCCUGGCCACCAGCAGCAGCCCUCCCCGACCGACGGUGCCCUCGCGUGGGCCGGCACCUACCCGCCAGGCAAGCGGUGGUGUCCAUCCACUUGAGCAGCUGCCCUGCGCUCAGCUCGCCGCGGGAGUCGGCAUGAGCCGGCUGGAUGGCCUGGCUCAUGAGCACCUCACCCGGCGCCACCAUCGACUCCAUCGUCCUGGCUGAGAGAACCCCAGACGCCAGCAGCAGGCCAUCCCGAUCCCCUGGGGCCCGCCCCCGCUCCAAAGGGCGCUGCCCGCGCCCGCUGCCAGGUGCUUAGGAGAGCACUGCUGGCCGGUUUUAAAGUCUCCCUUCAGUACCUACUUUCCCAACCUUGUUUCCUUCAAGGCUUUUCUUCUGGAUACAGAUUUGAAGUGUUUUAGUUGCUGCUGGUUGUAUUUGAAAAGUUUAAAUGAUGAGGUUUGGGGCCAUAAUAAAAAUCACCAUGAAGAAGGCAACAGUACCAGUUUUCCUCUUCAGCAGGAAGGACAUUAUCCAGCAAGGCUGCGUGCAGGCAGAGUCUCACGUCUGUUGAGAGUCUGUGGCAGUUUCUCGAGUAGCUGCUCAUCUCUCUGCAGAUGCCAGUGUCCUACUCAGCUGCAGGAGCAUCUGCUUCUGCUACCCAGAGGGAAAGGUUCCUGACUUAAUCGCUUGUCUGCUUAGAACUCUUCCUCAGUUGGAGCAGCUGCCUCUCUUCCAGUGCUGUCCGUCUUCACAAGGGGCAAGCAGAAGAUCAAGGUUGGGUGGGGCCCAGUGUCCAGAGCUCAGCUCGUGGGAAAGUUGAGAAGAGACAAACCAUAACUAUGUAUUUUAAGAAAGCCGAAAUGAACACGAAAGGCUUUUAGGACAUACACAUUUGUAAUCUGAUUUCAGGUUUUCUGAAGUGCCCCCUUGCACCAGCAGUUGCAGUUACACAGAGGGAAGAAAAUGUCAUUCAUUUUUUGCAAAGGCACUGUUCAGCAACUGUCUCACACAGACACCCCAUGCAAAUCUCUCUAGGAUACACAACUGUAGUAGUAAGUACAUUUCUCCUUUCUCCAGAAGGUUUGAGGUAACCUGAAAGAGAUACAAUCAGAGACAGCUCAUGUCUGCCCAGACCAUGUCCCCUGCAGGCUGAUGUAAGAGACUCAGUCUAGAACCACUCCUGGUCACAGGCUCGCAGAAGCCUACAUUGUAAACAUUUUACACUGAGCUUCAACUGGAACAAGAAAUCCUGCACGUAAACAUCCUGCAAUACAUUAUAAAUUUUUAACAGAAAUUGGUGGAAAGGAUGUUAUUUAAAAUAUUUCUGUAAAUUUUAUUGACUUUUAAGCUUCAAAGACUUCAGUAUUGAGAACUUUUGUUACAAUCUGGUUUUACGGAGAUAAUUAUCUUAGAAAUCCUGAUGGUGGAUUUAAUGAUCUAUCUUUUGUACAAAACACUAGUUUUGAUUUGGUUAUUUGGUCAACAAAUGUUUUAAUAACUGUUACAUGCAACUGUACAUUUCCACGUUAAUUUGGAGGGCUUUUUUGAAGCACUGACUCUCAUGCAGUUGCCAAUGCUUUUAUUUGUAUCGAAUGCUUUUAUGUACAACAAAUAUACUAUCUAUUUAUUAUUUCUUCAUUAAUUUAUGUUUAGCUCUCUGAGAGUUUAUCGAAUGAAAAAUUGUGUGUAGAUAAAUGCUCUACUGAAAAUGAAGUAAAUAUUUAAGACCUGAAAAAAAAAAAAAAA